rnacentral:rRNA from 1 species
AGAGUUUGAUCAUGGCUCAGAUUGAACGCUGGCGGCGUGCCUAAUACAUGCAAGUCGAACGAGGUGCUUGAGUAGCAAUACAAGAGUAUCCUAGUGGCGAACGGGUGAGUAACGCGUUGGUGACCUACCCCAAAGUGUGGGAUAACAGUUCGAAAGAACUGCUAAUACCGCAUGUGGUUAUUGGAUUUAGAAACUGAUAACUAAAGGAGCAAUUCGCUUUGGGAGGGACCUGCGUCCCAUCAGCUAGUUGGUGAGGUAAUGGCUCACCAAGGCUACGACGGGUAGGGGACCUGAGAGGGUGACCCCCCACAAUGGAACUGAAACACGGUCCAUACACCUACGGGUGGCAGCAGUAGGGAAUAUUGCACAAUGGGCGAAAGCCUGAUGCAGCAACGCCGCGUGUGCGAUGAAGGCCUUCGGGUCGUAAAGCACUUUUCUGAGAGAUGAGCAAGGACAGUAUCUCAGGAAUAAGUCUCGGCUAACUACGUG